CAUCAAACCAACAACACCGUCCUGACACAAAACGGCGCAUCCUGCUGCGCCCCCUUCUUCUUCUUCGUCUUUCUCGUCAUCCUCCUCCUCUUCUUCUUCUCCUUCCUCUUCUAAUUCUUUCGCCGCCGAUUCCUUUCUUAUACACCUGAGUCCGCCUCGGCCGUUGCCUCUGCUUUUUUGUACCCUUCAUCUCCUUCUCUCCUUCUUCUUCGUCCUCGCCGCAUCCUGAUAAAGUAAUCACCGGUGUUCUCGAGUUCGGACAGCUUCUCUUUACGCUUUCAUCCAUACUGUAGGAGGUAUUGAAUCCAACGGGGAUUCCGCGGAGAUUUCGAACAUCCGGAAUUUGUCCACUGGACCCGAAGAGGAUGACAAGUACGGUUUCUUCGAAGAGGAUGGACCAAGGGAAUACGACUCAUCCGGUACGGUGACCUGUAUUUGUCGAGGAGGAUGGAAGAGGAUCUAGAGAAUGUUUGGAUGAAGAUCUGACGGAUUCGAGGUGAAUCAAGUUCGUUCACAGAUACCAGGUAGAACCAUGGCAUGGUUCGUCGGCCCGGUACCAAGGUUUCUCAUGAAUGGAGGAGGGUUCAGCAGGAUCGAUGAAGAGGGCGUGUCUUCAGGGGAGGAUUGGUAUCCGUGACGUUUUCAACCCCACCUGAGAAGGUCGCAAACAGAGCGCACGUGCUCGAUUACGUCACAAGGAUAGCCGGGCUGAAGCACGAGAGCAAACCCAUUCAGUGAUCCUGUUUCUCGCCAAUGCUAUUCCGAUUCGACGUUCCUAUCUCUCCACUCUUUGCUUCUCGACUCUCGGCUAACGCAGAUCCAUCUCAUACAUUAUGUGCAUCAGUACGGGAGUAGCAGAAAUUGAGAACAGUGAACGCUUAGAGACUCGGUGAUGGAUUACGUGAAGAGGAAUAAGGGACGAACAAGUGAGACGACGUCGGGAAGCUGGUACGAGGAAGAUGCGUGAGUCUGUGCUCCUCGUGUUCACUGCGGGCCUCCAUGUGCCAACUUAUCAAAAUUCAUAAGGCACGCGGUGAAUGCCAAGAGCGGGCCAAAUACAACGUUCGCCCAACCGUAUUCGCGGCAUCCGAUCUUGGACCGGGAACGGACUUCGGCGUUUUUACUAUUCGCGCUCGUUCACUGUUUCAACGACAGGUCAGUAGUUAGUUGAAACUUCCACGCAUCCACGAUUUUGAUUCACGUAGACCGACGAUAUCUGUCUUGUAAAUUAGAUUGUUGUCUACUGUAAUUAAACUUACAAGCUAGACAAGAGUUUGGUAGUGUGAGUAGAUACUCCAGUGAUACAUUAUUAUAGAAUGUUAUUUUGUAGAUGAUUAAAAUUUGUUUUGUUUAAGCCAAGUUUUGAGUUGCUGUAAAACGUCAUGUACGACGUUAUGUAUAGUAAUAGAAAUGGCUCCUUUUCUACUGUGUACAUAUUUACUAUGCGUCCUUUUUAAUAUGUAAUAAAAAAUCACAUCGUGUUAA